AUAUGUGUGGGUAUGUAUCCUAGAGUGCAGGUACCCAAGGAGCCAGCAGUGUAAUGAAAUCCCCUUAAGCUGGAUUUACAAGUAGUGAAAAGCUGCCACACUUGAAUGCUGGGAGCUUAGGUCUUCUACAGGAGCACUAAGUAGUCACAGAGCCACCUCUCUAGUUGCUAUCCAUUUUAAUUAACAUACAUUGCAAUGAGUUUCCUAGUGGAAUUUUCUCAUCUUCUUUUGUCCUCUAGCUCCUUGCUUCCUUCACCCUUCCCAUCAUGGCACUACUUCUUCUACUUUUAUUUAUUUAUUUUUUUAAAGGAAUUUAUUUUAUUUCUUUUUUUUUCUUUCCAUUUUUUAUUAGGUAUUUAGCUCAUUUACAUUUCCAAUGCUAUACCAAAAGUCCCCCAUACCCACCCACCCCCACUCCCCUACCCGCCCACUCCCCCUUUUUGGCCCUGGCGUUCCCCUGUUCUGGGGCAUAUAAAGUUUGUGUGUCCAAUGGGCCUCUCUUUCCAGUGAUGGCCGACUAGGCCAUCUUUUGAUACAUAUGCAGCUAGAGUCAAGAGCUCCGGGGUACUGGUUAGUUCAUAAUGUUGAUCCACCUAUAGGGUUGCAGAUCCCUUUAGCUCCUUGGGUACUUUCUCUAGCUCCUCCAUUGGGAGCCCUGUGAUACUUCAUCUGUUUGUUAUACUUUCUCCCCCCAAAGAAUGAACCGAUGUGUUUAAAUGCUUCAUUAAUUAUUUCUAGUCUUAGAAAGUAAUAUUUAUUUUGGUAGUUUUUAUUUAUUUAACAAUAUAAAUAAGUCUUUUUGACCAAGAUGUUUAAAUACUUUUUACUGAAAUAUUUGAUGAGAAGCAAAUAUUUAAUUUCUACAUAUAAUCUUCACUAUUUUCAGAUACAUGUGUGUGUCCAUACAUGUGGGAAGGGACAUGUGAGUUCAGGUGUCCACAGAGGUCAGAGAUCUUGGACAUCUUGGAGACGGUGGUACACAUGGCUGUGAACUUUUGUGAAGGUUGAGAACCAAACAUGUCCUCAGAAAGAGCAGUAUACAUUCUUAACUGCUGACUCACCUCCCCAGCUUUCAGAAAGGAAUACUUAAAUUUGUAAACUACCCAUUAAGACCCAACUAUCUUAACCUUUAAACUAUAUGAUCUGUCUAUUUGUGUUAUCAAAUGCAAUAACCUGAGAUUUCUUUUAUCAGAAAUCAGACCUGCAACAUGUCUGUCAAGCUUUCUGAGUGUGUACAAAAAUUCAGAUCUCACAAGAGGUUAUCCAUCACACAUACAUAGCUGCUCUAAUUAAUAUCAGACUCAAAAUGCAUAUUUGAAAAAAGGCAUAAAACGCAUAUUAGAGAUUACUGAAGGCAGUAAGAAGAGUAUUGCUCAUAGGAAGCCCAAGCCACCAGCUCAGUCUUCCACAGCUCAAUAGUGCCCUGAUCUGAGGGGACAGAGCAAUCAGUAGGAUGGGUUAUAAAUUGUACUGCUUGUUCAUUCUCCUACAGAAUAACAGAAGGCAUCAUAGCUAUAACUCAGGCCCAGAUCUCUGGGAAUGUUGGGAUUAUUAGAUUGUCAAAAUCAUCUCUCAGAGCCACGUAUUGAUAUGAAACCCAGGAGGAAAACUGAACAAAGAGGCUUUCCCAUCAUCAGGGCAGAUCUGUGGAACAAUGUAGCAGUUUUCUAAAAGUAAAAUAUACUCUGAGUCUUAAAUGGUAGGUCACACAUGAUAUUCAAAUAAACCCAGUAUGACCAGUGGCAGUGGUCUCCAUGUCACAUGGGCAACACCUCCCAGAGUCUUGACUCGCACACCGCUUUUUAUAGAUCUAUAAAGUAAGCAGGAGAAACUGCAGGCCAUGAUUCUUUUUAAAUAAAGUGUGAAUUUCUGUGAUUUCCCCUCCUUGUUACAGAUCUUAUUUAUUGUUUGAGAAUGGCCAUUGAGAGUUUUCCUAUACCUUGCUACAUAUAGGGACAAUGGUCAUUGUUUACUAAUCCCAUUUGUUUUCAAUAAAGGAAGAAAUGUCUUUGAAACUACUGAAGAUGCCAUAGCACAUAAAACCCUUUUAUUUCAGCUUUUCCUAACAUGUGUAGAAGGUAUAUAUCAUAUGAUAUUAAAAGUGGUUGCCUUCAGAAAUGUUUAAACAUAUCAAAAUGGGAAGCUAUCCAUAAUACACAGAAACAUGUUUUUAGGCCAAAAGUCAUAGCGAUCCUAUCUUAACUCCUGAAUAUAUUCCAAGCACACUUAGAUGUGCAAGAGAUUUAAAAUUAAAUAUUUCUCUAUGCAACUAUACCAUUUAAAAUUAUAUAAUUUUUCUGUUUUUAUUAUUUAUUUCUACUUUUUUUUUCAUUCAAGAUUUUAUUCCCUUCCCAGUGCCCCAUCUGACUGUUCCACACCCCAUGCCUCCUCUCUGCCCCCUAUCAUUUUAAUUUGAAAAUUUUCCCUGUAAUGUUAUCAUACUCAGCAAUUAAAACAAAAGCUUUACAAACAUGUUUUAAAUAUAUUUAUAUUAUAUAUUUAUAUUAUGUAUGUAUAUAUGACAUAAAGAAUGAAAAAUAGAGAUGAAACUUGAUUAUUUUCAUAUAGAAAUAGAGAAUUUGGAUUCUUACUGAUUUUUUUUCUUCUGAGGAAAAUUAGAUGAUAGAAAAUUACUCUGAAUGUUGACAGCUUAUUAGCUAUGAUUAUCAGUAGUAACAGUUUAACUGGACAAGGAUUUUUUUUUAAGGGGAAGGUUCUGUGGAGAGAUAAAAUCUUAAUUACCAGCAUUUUAUUAGAAAAUUCUCAUUAACAGACUCAGUAGAAGCUUUCCAUAACACUUAGAUAGUCUAAAUGGCCUUGUAAUUAAUCUCAUUAGUGUCUUUUAGGCUAUGCUAGUGUUCAGGUGCAUGCCUGGAUGGGCAGUGAACUAGUGUGAGAUGCUAACAGUGGCAGCACUGGUAGAACCCCAGCCCCAAGUGCUAUUUCAAGAUCUGGGUAAAAUAGAAUCUUCUAUGCUGCCUGUGUAUGGAGUGCUGUUAUGGGUACAGCUAUUAAAGGUAGGAAAAGAUGGUAAAGAAUGCUCCUCAACCUGUAGUUAUACCCUUCCUUUGUGCAGUGGGUGGGCAGUAGUUUAAUCACUAUUUGGUGUUUCCUAUCUGUUGGCUCUGAGCAAUGGAUUGGAAUGCUUCCAUUCCUGUGGUAAUUACGAAAUAAUAAAAAGUCUUCAUCCCUAAAUGAGAUGUCUGCUUCAAAGCUCAUGGAACAUUCCAGACAUGUUAGCUUGAAAGCUGUUAGAGAAGGAAAGGGUAGUGUGUGCCAGAAUGCAAUCUUCUUGGCAGGUCAUGAAAUUGUCAUUGUACUCCUGAGUUCACAGCUGGUGUGAUUACCUACCCAUGACCCAAGAUUCUGCUCCUUCCUACCACACCAUGACUUAGGAAGGGACUCCUGGGGAGUUAACUUGCCAAAAAGAAUCUAUUGGUGAUUGUUAUUGCAGGAAGGAGUGGUGGGGUGGAGCUAUUUUCCUAGUUAUAUGCCCAAAGACUGGUGAAUAGUGCUUCACCCAUAAUUAAUCCUAAAUAAACUCAAUAGGUCAGUAAAUGAACAGCAUUAAGUAUAUAGAGGGACACUUGGGAUGAGGAAGGGGAUUAGAUAGCGUUGAGAAGAUGAUUUUUCCAUCUACAAUUCCACCAAUGAGAGUAAAUUUAUUAAACAAAAUGAGUGUUGAGAUUCCAUCUCAUAUGAGGUAUUGCCGCU
rnacentral:lncRNA from 1 species